rnacentral:rRNA from 1 species
UGGGGAAUAUUGCACAAUGGGCGCAAGCCUGAUGCAGCCAUGCCGCGUGUAUGAAGAAGGCCUUCGGGUUGUAAAGUACUUUCAGCGGGGAGGAAGGCGAUAAGGUUAAUAACCUUGUCGAUUGACGUUACCCGCAGAAGAAGCACCGGCUAACUCCGUGCCAGCAGCCGCGGUAAUACGGAGGGUGCAAGCGUUAAUCGGAAUUACUGGGCGUAAAGCGCACGCAGGCUGUCUGUCAAGUCGGAUGUGAAAUCCCCGGGCUCAACCUGGGAACUGCAUUCGAAACUGGCAGGCUAGAGUCUUGUAGAGGGGGGUAGAAUUCCAGGUGUAGCGGUGAAAUGCGUAGAGAUCUGGAGGAAUACCGGUGGCGAAGGCGGCCCCCUGGACAAAGACUGACGCUCAGGUGCGAAAGCGUGGGGAGCAAACA